rnacentral:rRNA from 1 species
AUUGAACGCUGGCGGAAUGCUUUACACAUGCAAGUCGAACGGCAGCACGGACUUCGGUCUGGUGGCGAGUGGCGAACGGGUGAGUAAUGUAUCGGAACGUGCCCAGUCAUGGGGGAUAACGUAGUGAAAAUUACGCUAAUACCGCAUACGAUCUAUGGAUGAAAGCGGGGGAUCGCAAGACCUCGCGCGAGUGGAGCGGCCGAUAUCAGAUUAGGUAGUUGGUGGGGUAAAGGCCCACCAAGCCAACGAUCGGUAGCUGGUCCGAGCAGGCGGCCGGCCACUCUGGAACGGAGAUACGGUACAGACUCCUACGGGAUGCAGCAGUGGAGACUUGUGGACACUGGGCGAAAGCCUGAUCCAGCCAUUCCGCGUGCAGGAUGAAGGCCCUCGGGUUGUAAACUGCUUAUGUACAGAACGAAAAUGUUUCUACUAAUACUAGGAGCUCAUGACGGUACUGUAAGAAUAAGCACCGGCUAACUACGUGCCAGCCGCCGCCGUAA